rnacentral:lncRNA from 1 species
GUCAUUGGCCAUAUGGCAUAUUUGGGCCGUCUCUUGAUGAUCUUCCUCUUCCGAACUUGACUCCUCACUUUCACUCCAUUCAGCCAUGAAAUUCUUCUUUUUAAGUUUUCUUGCCAUCCACUUUAAUUCCGGGCAAUCUAUCUUAUAAUGCCCGGGCUUGUUAUACUCAUAACAAAUAGGUGUUUCCUUUUUCUUUUCUUUGUCCUUACCCUUUUCUUUGCUUGAGCUACCUUUGAAGAAGGGUUUC